rnacentral:tRNA from 1 species
GUCAAGAUGGCUGAGUUGGUCUCAUAUGCCAGUUUCAGGGUACUGGUCCGAAAGGGCAUGGGUUCGAAUCCCAUUCUUGGAUA